rnacentral:lncRNA from 1 species
CUUGAAGAGUUUCCCACUGAGGUCUAAGAGUCUACAUACCUACAUGUCUAUCAUUCAAAAGCAGGUAUCUCUCUGAAAGUCAAUUUUCUCUAUGUAAAGGACACCAUUGCCUACCUGAAGGGCUUCUGCCCCAAAUCACCAUCCCUAAAGGCUAUUUUCUUCAGUGUUAUGGGACAAACAUCUUCUUUCUGAACUCACGUGGUAGGCAAUAUGCUAAGGACUCUUCUAUUUUUCUGAUGCCUAAAGACUAGUGUGUGGGAAAAGCCCCAAUUUGAGAGUGAGAAGACCCAGGUGUGACACUCAGCUCUUCUACCUACUACUUGUGUGGCCUUGAAAC